CCUACGGGAGGCAGCAGUGGGGAAUAUUGGACAAUGGGCGAAAGCCUGAUCCAGCAAUGCCGCGUGAGUGAUGAAGGCCUUAGGGUUGUAAAGCUCUUUUACUAGGGAUGAUAAUGACAGUACCUAGAGAAUAAGCCCCGGCUAACUCCGUGCCAGCAGCCGCGGUAAUACGGAGGGGGCUAGCGUUGUUCGGAAUUACUGGGUGUAAAGAGUACGUAGGCGGUUAUUCAAGUCAGAGGUGAAAGCCUGGAGCUCAACUCCAGAACUGCCUUUGAAACUAGAUAGCUAGAAUCAUGGAGAGGUUAGUGGAAUUCCGAGUGUAGAGGUGAAAUUCGUAGAUAUUCGGAAGAACACCAGUGGCGAAGGCGACUAACUGGACAUGUAUUGACGCUGAGGUACGAAAGCGUGGGGAGCAAACAGGAUUAGAUACCCUGGUAGUCCACGCCGUAAACGAUGAUAACUAGCUGUUCGGGCUCUCAGAGNUGUAGUGGCGCGAGCUAACGACAUAAGUUAAUACCGUCCGUCGGGUAGGUACGGUACGGCGAAGAAGUUAAAACGUUAACUAAAUAAGUUAAGUUAGUACGGUUCGUUGAGACGUUCGCCGACGGACGACGACGAGGGAGGAGGAG
rnacentral:rRNA from 1 species